rnacentral:rRNA from 1 species
GAUCAUGGCUCAGGAUGAACGCUAGCUACAGGCUUAACACAUGCAAGUCGAGGGGCAGCAUAUCGGUAGCUUGCUACUGAUGAUGGCGACCGGCGCACGGGUGAGUAACGCGUAUCCAACCUUCCCCUUAGUAGGGCAUAGCCCGGCGAAAGUCGGAUUAAUACCCUAUGUUAUCCAGCGAUGGCAUCUGAAUUGGAUUAAAGGUUUACCGCUAAGGGAUGGGGAUGCGUCUGAUUAGGUUGUUGGCGGGGUAACGGCCCACCAAGCCAUCGAUCAGUAGGGGUUCUGAGAGGAAGGUCCCCCACAUUGGAACUGAGACACGGUCCAAACUCCUACGGGAGGCAGCAGUGAGGAAUAUUGGUCAAUGGGCGAGAGCCUGAACCAGCCAAGUAGCCGUGCAGGAAGACGGCCCUAUGGGUUGUAAACUGCUUUUAUACAGGGAUAAAGUCGGGGACGUGUCCCCGUUUGUAGGUACUGUAUGAAUAAGGACCGGCUAAUUCCGUGCCAGCAGCUGC